rnacentral:rRNA from 1 species
UACGACUACAUAUCAGGCAUAUCAAUAAGCGGAGGAAAAGAAACUAACAAGGAUUCCCCUUAGUAACGGCGAGUGAAGCGGGAAGAGCUCAAAUUUGAAAUCUUCAAGGUUCUACCUUGACGAAUUGUAGUUUAAAGAAGUGUUUUCUGUUAGAUGAGUAGCAAAAGUUCCUUGGAAUGGGACAUCAUAGAGAGGUGAGAAUCCCGUAUUUGGUUAUUCAUUCUAGCUUUGUGAUACACUUUCAAAGAGUCGGAUUGUUUGGGAAUGCAGUCCAAAAUGGGUGGUAAAUUUCAUCUAAAGCUAAAUAUUGGCGAGAGACCGAUAGCGAACAAGUACCGUGAGGGAAAGAUGAAAAGAACUUUGAAAAGAGAGUUAAACAGUACGUGAAAUUGUCAAAAGGGAAGCGUUUGACACCAGUGUUGUUUUUCCAAAAAUCAAUUAGCGAAUGGCUUGAUUUUGUGUUGUAUUGACCUUAUCAGCUUUCUUCACUUUUUUCGAGUCUUUCUUAAUGCACUUUUUGGUUAACAAGUCAACAUCAAUUUCUUUUGUUGUAAAAGAGUAUUCGGAAGGUGGCUUUCUUUUCGGAGAAAGUGUUUAUAGCCCUAUACUUCUACAAUCGGAGAGAUUGAGGUCUGCAGCGUAGAUCCUUUCGAGGUUAGAUACAUCUGUGCUAAGUUGUAGCUUUUCAUAGACAACUUGUUGACUAUGUUUAGUCAUGCGGCUUACUCGCUUAGUGCUAUUUUACCUACGCUUAGGAUGUUGAGUAGCGACAUACGCAC